AUAAAUGAAUAAAUAAAUAAAACAGGUGGAAGAAACACACAACUAAAGAUGCACUAUCCAUGCCAUCUACCAUGAAGUAUAAUAUGCAGCAUUGAGCAGUUCAGAAUUCAGAUUGCAUAUGUGAUUUUUCACAAAUUCAAUUUUAGUGGUGCAGAUUCGAUUUCAAGAAGCUUUCUCUCUCGCGCACACACACACAUCAACCCACAGAACAUCUGGAUUAGUAAAAGGAUAUCAAUGCCCUAAAAAUCCAUUUGGAUAGUUGUGCAUUUGAAAUGAAAACUUCAAAGGCAAUAUCAGCACUUCUCCCUGUGUGUCUUCAGCCACAUGCAUACAUGGACAUACAUGUGCUUCCAUAUUGACAUAUGUGCACAUUUUGUUGUUUUGUGUAUGAAUAUGAAAAUAUAGAAGCAUGAACUUAAUAGGAAGAGUUCAGCUCUAAUUUCAAAAAUCUGCUCACAACAAUACCAAAGGACUCGAUCGUCAAAUCCUGAAACAUAAAAGUUAAGGUAUAUUGAUACAGAAUAUUAUCCAGCUAAGCCUAAAUGAAGGGACAAGGAGAAUUGGAAUUGGGUGGUAUACUCUAGAAGGAUCAAAAAGUCCAGCUCACCCCUUUUCUGUUAGAGAAGAAUUCGGAAAACAUGUGAAGCAAGUAGCCACAGGGUGUUACAUACAGAAUAAGAGAGCAUGAAGGAGGGAAAUGACUAAUUUGUAUCUUUUUCUUCCAGCUUUUUAGCUUGGGGUCAGUGUUCUACUGCUGGGGCGUAUGAGGGAUAGUUUUCUCUUGUAAUCAUCUGGACCCAUUUGUGUAUUUGAAUUAAAAAAAAAAAUAUAUUUAUCUUCUUCGUGCUAUCAUUUCCUUGUUCUGUUCUUUUUGUAUAAUUUCUGGUGCUGUGCUUUCUUUUCUCUAUCAAUUUCCUAAUAGUAAUCUUAACCUUAAUUUUCCACCCCAACCAGGUAAUAUAUCUAUAUUAUGAUGAAUGGAAUAAAUACAAGGAAAAAUAUUAGAAGAAUGGAAAAAGUAUACGCAUUCAAGAGCUUCGACCAAAUAAUGGGGUAAGUGGAGGCUAUACCUCUGGAUGCCAUUGGAAAGCAGUCACAGGAUAGUUGUGUGCUUCUACAGUGGAGACAUAAACCUGAUAUGAAUGUUAACAGGGGAAUUAGAAUUCUAGUGGGUACAUGGCAACAUUAACAAAAAUUACUACAAGCAAUACUUUGUCAUCUGCAUCUGCACUAGUAGUCAAGAUCUUGAAGAAACUAGAUAGAUCCUGGUUCUCUUGAAGCCGUUCUGGCGAGAUGCCGUACUGUUGUAUUGGAAAAACAUAAACAAAGAAAUAGGAACCUUCAAUAUAUAUAGAUCAGGCAUUUUUAAUAAAGCAAAAUAAACAAAAGAAGAAAUUAAUGGUAAUACAGGAAUAGUUCAAUAACAAGAGGGGGAAAAUACUACUCUGCAUACAAGUAAGAAAAGCCUAAUAAUAAACAUAUCAGUAGCACUUCCUUUACUCCUAGCCUUUGUGUUAUACAAAUUCUCAACCAGCAGGAUUUUUCCAUGGAUUUUUUGGCAAGACAUCUUAAAAAUCAGAAAAUAAAAUGCAUUAAUACCUCAACAAUAAACGGCAAUUCUAAAAUAGGAGUUACAUAGAUUUUCAUGGUUUAAUUUCACUUCUAAUGAAUUUAAGAUUUUAAAACCAUGGAUUUGUCUUUUGGAGAACCCAUGGUUUUAUAAGGUAUGAUUUUUGGAGGUUUUCAAACCUCCAUUUUUCAACCCAUCAAAUCCGUGGAUUGAGGAGGUUUUCUCUUCAAAACCUCCAAAACCCAUCAAAACACUUCCCUUCCUCCCAAACAACAAAAAAUUAUGAAGUUUUUAAAACCAUAAAAAUCGUUAUUUUACCUCCUCCCAAACAUAAUAUAAACCCAUUAAAAUUAUUAAACUGAAAUAGGCUCUAAAAUCACUGGACCUUUCUUUUUGAAUUAGAACUUUUCGAACAUAUUUUGUAUGCUGAGUGACUCACUCAAAACAAUUUUCUAUUUCCUAUCUCUGAGUAAGAGACGUGAAAAAAUUAACUUUGCUGUUAAAAAUCAGUAGAGAGAGUGGAAAGUAAAAGAGCAUCAGAAAAUGGCAUUUUUUAAUCUUUUAUUUACAAAGAAAGGAUAAGAAUAAGAGAGAAAGAAGAUGUCCUGGAUGGCUCACUAAGCAUAUAAAAUAUACUAGAGAAGUCUAAUGUGGCUGCCACAUCAUACUUCCAGUAUGAAUUUAUUUGGCUUUUGGUCUCAGUGAUUUUAUAGUUUUAAGAGAAAAUUUGAAAUUUAGUAACUAGUUCCACGUUAAUCAUUCUAGGCAUUACAUGGACCUAUUUAACAAAAGUCAUGCAUAGCUAGACUGUAGAAAUGCUAGAUUAAUAAUAUUGCGGACCACCCAGUAGAUGAACACAAUAAAAAAAAUAGAAUAAAUGAAAUAGGAUUUAAUAUAAGGCUUUCAAGCCAUUCGAUACAAAAUAAAAAUUACAUGCCCUUUUUAAACAGAGAUUGAAAUGACUUCAACCAUCAAAAUCUAUGUAAAGAUAUGCACAGCACACCAUGUUCCCUUGCAUUUUACAACACCACCAAAGAUCCUACCAAAAUUACUUUAACUCACAUGAUGGUUUUGCAUGAUGAGACAAUCCGUACUCAACUUUUUAAGCAAGUCUGGAGGAAAUCUGCAAUAGUGAUGAAUGUUAAGUAGCACUUCUGCUUGGAACAAGUAGAUGUAAUCAAUUUUGCUGACAACAAAUAAUUAAAUAAGCUACUAUAACAAUGUUAAACAUUAUGUCAAAGAUCAACUAAGUUAUGAAAAACUGGCAAAGGAUCACUUCAUUCCAGAGAAUGGCACCAAGUGUGUGUGCGUGUGUGUGCGCGCACGCACCCUAAUGCAUGCGGCUUCUAACAUUGCUAAUUCUAUAAUGCAGAAACACCCAUUCCAAUGAUCAACUAGCUAGAAAUCAUGGUUGAGUUUGGCAUCAACAACUAAUAUGAUGGAACACUACAAAAGAAGCAGGGGAUGAAAAUAGAAAAGGUUACAUUAAGAGAGAAAGAGGGAGAAAAAGAGGGGAAAAUAAUUAUCCUAAUAAAGUUUCCAAACUAGAACAAGUAAAUUUUUCAUCACAACGAUCCUCCAAUUGAGAAGAUCGAUCAACCUGAAAUGAAGAGAAGGAUCUAUAAUGGUUAUACUUAUCAUGCAAAACUUGAAGUGCAUAUUGCUACCUCAUUUAUCAUAAUUUAUAACACAUUGAUGUCAACUGAUCUUUGAAACAGUUCAUGCAACAUCACUCCUCACAAUGAUUUUUCAUAAUCCAAAUCAACAAAGAACAAUCAUAACUACUACCAGCAUGAUAACCAAAUUAUAAUUCAGAACACAUGGGACCAUGUAUAAAAGGUGUGACUCAAUGCAUGAAGCAUCCCACAUUUGUGUGUUCUGGAGAAGUUUGAUGCACACAGCUUUACCCCUGCUUUGCAGAGAGGCU
rnacentral:misc_RNA from 1 species